rnacentral:lncRNA from 1 species
AUAUGAAAAAGGAGAAUUUGAAACCCUGGGAUGUGACAGUAAAAAGAAUGAUGAUGGAAAAAUGGAGGUGGGAUGAGAAAACAGAAAAAAAAAAUUGGAGUUUCUGGGCAAGGAAAUAGAAAUUGGCCUGACAAAGAGACAUUUUUACUGAUGGUCCAGCAGAAAGACAACACACAGCACAGCAAUAUAGAGGGACCCCAGCUACUCCCUCCAUUCAAAAUCUACUGUGAAACUCUCACUGAAGGCAAUAAGGGAAGAUUUAGACCUUCUAAUUCAAUUAUAAUUAACCCAGACUCAGGCUUCUCUUUCAUGAUAUAUCUGGAAGCGAAAAUGGUACAAGUGAGUAAGCAGACAAGCACAUGGCCAGGACUGUUAUAGCAAGAGUGAUGGCAUGCAACCGCUGAGUUACUGCAUAAGGAACACUUCACCACUCUGGAAGAAAGAAGCUGCUGCAUUUGGUGGAGCCAAAACCUGCAAACAUGCUCUGAGAAUGCCUGCAUGAGCAAAAAGCAGAUAAACACCAUCUGAAGCACUUCCAAGUAAACAGAGCUGCAG